rnacentral:misc_RNA from 1 species
AAGUCGUAACAAGGUUUCCGUAGGUGAACCUGCGGAAGGAUCAUUACUGAGUUCAUGCCCUUACGGGUAGAUCUCCCACCCUUGAAUAUCUAAACCUUUGUUGCUUUGGCAGGCCGCUUCGGCUACCGGCUCCGGUUGGUGAGUGCCCGCCAGAGAACCUUAAACUCUGAAUUACAGUGUCGUCUGAGUACUAUAAAAUAGUUAAAACUUUCAACAACGGAUCUCUUGGUUCUG